CCUACGGGGGGCAGCAGUGGGGAAUAUUGCACAAUGGGGGAAACCCUGAUGCAGCGACGCCGCGUGAGUGACGAAGUAAUUCGUUACGUAAAGCUCUAUCAGCAGGGAAGAAAAUUACGGUACGUGAGAAAGAAGCCCCGUCUAACUACGUGCCAGCAGCCUUGGUAAUAUGGAGGGGGCAAGCGUUAUCCGGAUUUAAUGGGGGUAAAGGGGGCGUAGACGGUGCGCCAAGUCUGGAGUGAAAUGCCGCAGCUUAACUGCGGAACUGCUUUGGAAACUGGCGAACUAGAGUGGGGGAGGGGUAAGCGGAAUGCCUAGUGUAGCGGUGAAAUGCGUAGAUAUUAGGAGGAACCCCGGUGGCGAAGGCAGCUUACUGGAUCGUCACUGACGUUGAGGCUCGAAAGCGUGGGGAGCAAACAGGAUUAGAUACCCUUGUAGUC
rnacentral:rRNA from 1 species